CACAAAAAAAAUUCUAGUGAGUUUGCUCAGUGAAUUUUUUGGGCUUCGCAACAGCUUUGAGCUGUUGUAAGGGAAAUGCUGGUUGCGAUUAUUGCAUUUUCAUCUUGAUCCUUCCCAUGGCACUUACUGCUGGCAAGGUUUCUAAUGUUCCAGUUUUACCAAAGGGGAUAACUUCCUCUAGAUCAUUUCAAACUGUAUAUUCUUUUGGCAAGUCAACACCGCACAAUCAAUUACUUCCUACAAAUCAAAGAGUUGAGUUUCGGCAAGCGAGCAAUGGGCAUCUUUUGGCAUCAAAAUUAGGCUUCUCUGAUGAGGGUUUGUCAAACAUAUGUGGAAAGCCAAUUGGUUUCAUUGUCUUUCGGAGAAGUUCCAUUUUAUGCUGGUCAACGGGAACACGCAAUAGCAAAGAAAAAGAAUGCAUUAGACCUUAUGGUGAUUCCUCUGAUGUAUCUAGUGCACAAAAUGGAGAAGAGGAAGACAAGCAUCCAGUCGUACCUAGAAUUAUUCACUCAAGUCAGGGCUUAGCUGAAGCUUGUAAAUUUGUGUACAACGAUGCAAAGUUCGUAAAUGAAAGGGCUCGUAGUGACAUUGUCUUGCUUUCUCGAAGCAUAAUGAGGUUAGAUGCCCGUGCACGUCAAGAUGUUGCUAUUCUUGGUUCAAAGUUUCUUAAGCUUGAUGCUCGGGCAAGAGAGGAUACAGAGAAAAUUGACCGUGAUGUGAAGCAAAAAGCUGAACGGCUCCAUCAUAUAGCUACUAUCUUAAAAGAUAAAGCACAGUCUAGAUUGAAAAGAGCUGCUGAUAAGCAUUGGAGUGAUGGAGCCUUAGAGGCUGAUCUGCGCCUUGCUGACUUCCGUGCCAAGCAACGUGCAAUGGAAGAUGCCCUAAUGGCUCUGGAGUUUGUCAAAAAUAUCCUUGACAUGAUGGUGAGCAAGAUGUACAAAUUCCCUUUGUGUAGAGAAAAAAAUUCUCUAUCAGGUACUGAUAUGAUGGAACGUAUAACGCUUGAGAAAAAUGGGAAAACCCUUGAAUUCUUCCUCGGGGAAGUGUCUACUGAUCGUAUUACUGCUAUUCAGGAAGUGUAUUGGAGUAUGGCAUCUGCACUUUCUGAAGCUGAUGGAAUUGACUAUACUGAUCCUGAAGAGCUUGAAUUGUUGAUCGCAACUCUUAUAGAUCUUGAUGCAAUGGAUGGUAAAAGUAGUGUAUCGCUACUGGCGGAGUGUUCAAGUUCUCCUGAUGUCAGCACCAGACGAGCAUUGGCCAAUGCAUUAGCAGCUGCUCCAUCCAUGUGGACUCUUGGCAAUGCGGGGAUGGGGGCAUUGCAGAGACUGGCUGAAGAUAGCAACCCUGCAGUCGCUGUUGCUGCAUCCAAAGCAAUCUAUGAACUGAAGAAACAGUGGGAAAUAGAAGAAGGAGAUAGCUGGAGAUUUAUGAUGAAUCUAAAGCUCGCGGAGGAAGCAGAUAGUGAAGAAUCCAGUGAUGAUGCAGAUACAAACUGAGAAGCUAUCAAGACAAUUAUACUGUAAAUAUCUACAUUUAGCCUCACUGCAUUCCUUAAGAUAAUAGUGGCUUCCCUUGUUUCAGGGAAGUACUGACAAGUGAAACCACUUAUCAUCCGCAUUGGAAUGGACUUUCCAAAAGCUAAAGAAAGCUGAGGGUGAGGGCCACUAAAAGCAAAAGCAGAGAGAUGGACCGUGAUCCCAGCACAUUAAUUAAAGCUUUGUACAGGCAAAGGUUUCUAGUCACAAUCAUAGUCCCCUAAGUUGAUCCAUUUCCCCCUCUUUUUUCAACUACACUUUUUCUUUCUUCUUAGCCUUUUCAUAAUGCUCACCACUUUUGACACCUUCGUUUCAUCAUUCAUUCCUGCCUUUCACUUGGGUUAAAAUAUUGAAUCCCAUUUCUCUUCUCCUUAUUAAAAUAUCUAAUACAUUUAUUAUUACAAGUAUAUAUG